rnacentral:rRNA from 1 species
GACGAACGCUGGCGGCGUGCUUAACACAUGCAAGUCGAACGGAAAGGCCUCUUUCGGGGGGUACUCGAGUGGCGAACGGGUGAGUAACACGUGAGUAACCUGCCCUUGACCUUGGGAUAACUUCAGGAAACUGGGGCUAAUACCGUAUAGGAGCUCCUGCUGCAUGGUGGGGGUUGGAAAGUUUCGGCGGUUGGGGAUGGACUCGCGGCUUAUCAGCUUGUUGGUGGGGUAGUGGCUUACCAAGGCUUUGACGGGUAGCCGGCCUGAGAGGGUGACCGGCCACAUUGGGACUGAGAUACGGCCCAGACUCCUACGGGAGGCAGCAGUGGGGAAUAUUGCACAAUGGGCGGAAGCCUGAUGCAGCAACGCCGGGUGCGGGAUGACGGCCUUCGGGUUGUAAACCGCUUUCGCUCAUGACGAAGCUUUGUGUGACGGUAGUGGGUAAAGAAGCACCGGCUAACUACGUG